UACGUAGGGGGCAAGCGUUGUCCGGAUUUAUUGGGCGUAAAGAGCGUGUAGGCGGCUUGGUAGGUCCGCUGUGAAAACUCGAGGCUCAACCUCGAGAUGUCGGCGGAAACCACUUGGCUAGAGUCCGGAAGAGGAGAGUGGAAUUCCGUGGUGUAGCGGUGAAAUGCGCAGAUAUCAGGAAGAACACCCGUGGCGAAGGCGGCUCUCUGGGACGGUACUGACGCUGAGACGCGAAAGCGUGGGGAGCGAACAGG
rnacentral:rRNA from 1 species